rnacentral:lncRNA from 1 species
GUAGGUCCAGGUGACUGGGACACGGGAGGGCUCCAGACAGCCGCUAUUUGCCACACGGAACCAAAGCAUUUCACUGUUUUAACAAGCGGUUCAGCUGGUCCGGAGUAUCCCUGCUGGCUCUCAGCCCUAAAGUGGCGUGAGGGCUGGGCACGUCGACAGCACUUGAUCCGCUCCUUCCCUCUGGAAAUGCAUUUCCUUCCAUUACCAGAACAGCCUCUCACAGUUUGGCCUGCCUCUUCUCAUGCUAUGUCGAAACAAAGCCACCUGCCUCCCAUGAAAGACGGCAUUGUUUUUCCACCUGAGCCACCCACACCUGGGCAGGUAGAACAGCGGGUCCCCACUCCAGGGAGCUCUCCCACUCGGGCCUGUCAUGGCUCACACCCCGAGCAGCUGCUGUGCUUGCCCUGUGUGGAGGGUAGCAGGGUGCCUCCUGGGCAGCAGAAUGGUGGGGUGCACUGGAUAACGAGACAGUGGGUGUGGCUCCCAUGAAAUAAACAACCCCUGGGCAUUGCACAUUCAGGCACAGUGCUGCAGUUUUCUUAAAGAUGUAAUUAUCUCUGGGAAAGCUACUCUCCUCAGAGCUCACCGACCCUUGGGGGAUAAAAUGUUGACAAAGGAAGAAAUGUAUGAGAUUUUGUUUUGUUUUGUUUUUCUUUAGACAAUUGAGCCACCCACAAUCACAGUUAUGUAAAAGUCUCACUCCUGUAAUCCCAGCACUUUGGGAGGCUGAGGCGGGUGGAUCACUUGAGGUCAGGAGUUCCAGGCCAGCCUGGCCAACGUGGAGAAACCCCGUCUCUGCUAAAAAUACAAAAAUUAGCCAGGCGUGGUGGUGCAUGCCUGUAGUCCCAGCUACUUGGGAGGCUGAGACACAAGAAUGGCUUGAACCGGGGAGGCAGAGGUCGCAGUGAGCUGAGCUCGCACCACUGCACUCCAGCCUGGGCGACAGAGAGAGACUCUGUCUCAAAAAACAAACAAACAAAACAAAAAAACACACUUCCAUAAAAGCAAAUUCUCAUAACUGAAGUCUCCAGGAAAAGAGCAAAGACCAGAACCCCGAGCAUACGAGUGAGGGUCAGGUGCAGGCCCUCAGGGUGGGGUCUAGGGGCACUAAACCCAGGCUGCUUCCACUGCUGGCUGCUUCAAGGGCUGGUGUUGCUAGGGGUGUGGCCCUGUCUUUAAAAUGCCUGUUAAGACAUAGAUUACCUGGGCAGAGCCUUUGAGAUGAGUUUUUAAAUUUAGUGGAGUGCCUCAUCUGAGACCUUCAGGCAAGAGUGGAGCACAGAGGAAAGGGGUGUCUUUCUCAAGAGAGAAGCAAACUGCGGGUCAAAGUGCACCACCAGCCACCAACAGCUAGCUUCCGGAUCAAGUAGGAUGGAAAUGGUUUAUUCCUCCAAAGACUCUUAAAAGAGCAGCCCCUGCUGCAGAAUAGAAAGAGGCUCCAGAGGAGCAGUGAGCUCGAGGAACCCCCCUGAAGAUCCCCAGUUUCUGUAUGCAGCUGCAUCAGGCCCAGACAAAUUCUUCCAUCUGGAGCGUGUCCCCGCAGAUCUUCCCAGCCGCGGCUGUGGUCCGCGUUAUCUCAGGCUGUCAGGUCUCAGAAAUUAGAAACCAUCUCAUUUCAUCAGGGUCAUCCCACACCGUCUGCCACCAUAGAUGGAGAGGAUUUCAAGUGAUGUUUUCUGAAGAUGGUUCUGUUGUCCCGGGAGAGCCCUUGGCGGACAUGGUAGUGCCAGUCAGAGCCCUUGACGCUGUGCAGCCAGGUGGCUUAUUGUCCCAGUGACUUUCCAACCAGAUACUCUCAGUCAGAGUGAAGGGCUCCACUUAGAAACUCCCUUUCCCAUUAACUCGUCAGAGUUAUGCCAUUCCUCUUUAUUCUUUUUAAAAUAUUUAUACUCAAAGAAAUUGUAUGGGGAGUGAGCACACACCAAUCAUAUAACUGUCAAAUGAAAGCCUUUCCUUAAAUGUUCAAGGGCGCCGGAGGAAUAAAUUUGGAGUCAUGCAGAUCUUGUUUCACGAGUGUGUACAUGUGUAUGAAACUUUAUGUGGGUGGAAAACCAACAAGAGAAAAAAGAGAGCAGAAACUGUUGUGUGAUUGCGUUUUCCUGCCCGAGACAUCCUGUGCUCUGCAUCUGAUAACCUGCCACCAACAGGGCUCCACCACAUUGCCCAGGCUGGUCUCAAAGUCCUAGGCUCAUGCGAUCCUCCCACCUCAACCUCCCAAAGUGCUGGAACUACAGGUGUCAGCCACAGCCCCCUGUGAGGAUGCUUAAUCACUCGAGGACGGUAUAAAGGUACAGAAGAACAGCGAGCCACAGGUGGGCCUCAUCCCAUCAGCUGAAGGCCUUACAGGAACAAAGAUUGACCUCCCAGUAUAAGAAGUAAUCUGCCAGCAGGCUGCCUUUGGACUCCAACUGCAACUCUUCCCUGGGUUUCCAGCCUGCCAGCCUACCCUGCAGACUUUGGACUUGCACCUCCACAACCAUACGUUUCCAAAAUCUGGAGAGCGGCUGUGAGUUUGCAGUGCAGUAUGGGGAGAGACCAGAACCCACCGGAAGCCUCCAGGUGCUGCAGUGAGGAGGAGCUGGAACCCUUCUCCUCCAGGUGCCAGCUCGCGCUGCUGUGGUUCUCAUCUGUAGAGGACGUGGACCAUCCAGGGAAUCACCUGCAGCUGACAGAGGAAACUCUGAAGCCCACCAGGCCUGUACAGACUGGGGAAACACCAGUGCCUGAGGAUAGUGGCUAAACUGCCAGAGAACAUGGGGCUGAGGUGGAGCCUGGAUGACUCUUCUGCCUCUGAGCAAAGCUGCUUGCCCUACACACAACAGUAUUGUCUUAACAUCUGCUGAGUUCCCAGGUCCUCUUAGCAGCAGGCAGAGGCAUUCAGAGCCCAGACCCCAAAGACAUGCUGAUCUGGUUUAAACCUGACUGUGCUACUCAUCAACUGGGGGACCUAGGCAGGUUACAUUGUCUUUUUGUGCCUCAGUUUCCUCAUCUAUAGAAUAGAGGUAUUCUAGUUUCCUGUGAUUUCUGUAAUAAAUUUACAAACUUUGUAACAAAUUACCACAAAUUUGGUGGCUUCAAACGAUAGAAAUUUAUUCUCUCACAAACCUGGAGACCAAAAGUCUAAAGUCUCUAUCAUUGGACUGAAAUAAAAGUGCAGGUGGGGCCAGACACAGUGGCUCACACUUGUAAUCCCAGCACUUCGGGAGGCCAAGGCGGGCGGAUCAUGAGGUUAGGAGUUUGAGACAAGCCUGGCCAAUAUGGUGAAACCCCGUCUCUACUAAAAAUACAAAAUUAGCCAGGCGUGGUGGUGCAUGCCUGUAAUCCCAGCUACUUGGGAGGCUGAGGCAGGUGUAUCUCUUGAAACCAGGAGGCGGAGGUUGCGGUGAGCCAAAAUCAUGCCAUUGCAC